CAGUCGCCACGGUAAUACGAAGGGUGCAAGCGUUACUCGGAAUUACUGGGCGUAAAGCGUGCGUAGGUGGUGGUUUAAGUCCGUUGUGAAAGCCCUGGGCUCAACCUGGGAAUUGCAGUGGAUACUGGCUCGCUAGAGUGUGUCAGAGGAUGGUGGAAUUCCCGGUGUAGCGGUGAAAUGCGUAGAGAUCGGGAGGAACAUCAGUGGCGAAGGCGGCCAUCCGGGACAACACUGACGCUGAGGCACGAAAGCGUGGGGAGCAAACAGGAUUAGAUACCCCCGUAGUCCCUGUCUCUUAUAA
rnacentral:rRNA from 1 species